rnacentral:rRNA from 1 species
UACGGAGGAUGCAAGCGUUAUCCGGAAUGAUUGGGCGUAAAGCGUCCGCAGGUGGCUGUGUAAGUCUGCUGUUAAAGAGUGAGGCUCAACCUCAUAAAGGCAGUGGGAACUACAUGGCUAGAGUGCGUUCGGGGCAGAGGGAAUUCCUGGUGUAGCGGUGAAAUGCGUAGAGAUCAGGAAGAACACCGGUGGCGAAAGCGCUCUGCUAGGCCGCAACUGACACUGAGGGACGAAAGCUAGGGGAGCGAAUGGG